ACGGGAGGCAGCAGUGGGGAAUAUUGGGCAAUGGGCGAAAGCCUGACCCAGCGACGCCGCGUGAGGGAAGACGGUCUUCGGAUUGUAAACCUCUUUUAUGUGGGACGAAGUAUGACGGUACCACAUGAAUAAGCCACGGCUAACUACGUGCCAGCAGCCGCGGUAAUACGUAGGUGGCGAGCGUUAUCCGGAUUUACUGGGUGUAAAGGGCGCGUAGGCGGGAAGGCAAGUCAGGUGUGAAAUCUAUGGGCUUAACCCAUAAACUGCAUUUGAAACUGUCUUUCUUGAGUGCUGGAGAGGUAGACGGAAUUCCAUGUGUAGCGGUGAAAUGCGUAGAUAUAAGGAAGAACACCAGUGGCGAAGGCGGUCUACUGGACAGUAACUGACGCUGAGGCGCGAAAGCGUGGGGAGCAAACAGGAUUAGAUACCCUGGUA
rnacentral:rRNA from 1 species